rnacentral:rRNA from 1 species
UCUACGGGUGGCAGCAGUGAGGAAUAUUGGUCACUGGGCGGGCGCCUGAACCAGCCAAGUCGCGUGAGGGAAGACGGUCCUAUGGAUUGUAAACCUCUUUAGGCGGGGAGCAAUGCCGGGCACGUGUGCCCGGCGGGAGAGUACCCGAAGAAUAAGCAUCGGCUAACUCGGUGCCAGCAGCCGCGGUACUACGGAGGAUGCGAGCGUUAUCAGGAUUUAUUGGGUUUAAAGGGUGCGUGGGCGGAUUUUUAAGUCAGCGGUAAAAUGUCCGGGCUCAACCCGGGCCGGCCGUUGAAACUGGGGAUCUUGAGUGGGCGAGAAGUAUGCGGAAUGCGUGGGGUAGCGGUGAAAUGCAUAGAGAUCACGCAGAACUCCGAGUGCGAAGGCAGCAUACCGGCGCCCGACUGACGCUGAGGCACGAAAGCGUGGGGAUCGAACAGGAUUAGAUACCCGGGUAGUC